rnacentral:rRNA from 1 species
GGUCCGCCUCACCGCGAGUACUGGUCCGGCUGGACCUUUCCUUCUGGGGAACCUCAUGGCCUUCACUGGCUGUGGGGGGAACCAGGACUUUUACUGUGAAAAAAUUAGAGUGUUCAAAGCAGGCCUUUGCUCGAAUACAUUAGCAUGGAAUAAUAGAAUAGGACGUGCGGUUCUAUUUUGUUGGUUUCUAGGACCGCCGUAAUGAUUAAUAGGGAUAGUCGGGGGCGUCAGUAUUCAGCUGUCAGAGGUGAAAUUCUUGGAUUUGCUGAAGACUAACUACUGCGAAAGCAUUCGCCAAGGAUGUUUUCAUUAAUCAGGGAACGAAAGUUAGGGGAUCGAAGACGAUCAGAUACCGUCGUAGUCUUAACCAUAAACUAUGCCGACUAGGGAUCGGGCGGCGUUUCUAUGAUGACCCGCUCGGCACCUUACGAGAAAUCAAAGUUUUUGGGUUCUGGGGGGAGUAUGGUCGCAAGGCUGAAACUUAAAGAAAUUGAC